rnacentral:rRNA from 1 species
AGCGAACGCUGGCGGCAUGCCUAACACAUGCAAGUCGCACGGGGGGCUUCGGCCUCCCAGUGGCGGACGGGUGAGGAACGCGUAGGGAUCUGUCGAGGGGUGGGGGAUAACCGCGGGAAACUGCGGCUAAUACCGCAUGACGCCGCGGCGUGACAGCCGGGGCCAAAGGCGAAAGCCGCCCGCCGAGGGGCCUGCGUCCGAUUAGCUGGUUGGCGGGGUAGCGGCCCACCAAGGCGUCGAUCGGUAGCUGGUCUGAGAGGGUGAUCAGCCACACCGGGACUGAGACACGGCCCGGACUCCUACGGGAGGCAGCAGUGGGGAAUAUUGGACAAUGGGCGCAAGCCUGAUCCAGCAAUGCCGCGUGGGUGAAGAAGGUCUUCGGAUUGUAAAGCCCUUUCGGCGGGGACGAUGGUGUCGGUACCCGCAGAAGAAGCCCCGGCUAACUUCGUG